GUUUCAAAAAGUAUAGUGUAAAACGAAAUUUAUUGAAUAAUUCUACAUAAAAUUAUAUACGUAAAUGACUCACUAUGUAAACUAUUGGAAUACAACUUAUUUCAUUACGUUUUUUAUGCAAAAUGAUAAUGACUAUCUGAAUGCUCGGAGCACUGCCACUAAAAUGAGAAACUACAGAAAAAAUACUGCUCUGGUGCUACUUGUGCUGUGGUGAAUAUAUAUUUCUAUUUAUUUUCUUCUGUUUACGAGAAAUACAAGCAGCAAGAUCAAGGGAUAUGGCGGAGGAAUGGUUUUUAAACAUCUUGGCGAUGGGCUGUUUACCUGCUGGAUACUUGCAAUCUCAUUUGCAAAAAAUAUGACACGCACACUGCCACUUUAAGGUAUUUCUUUUCUGAGGAAUCAUGUAGGAAAACGAAGAGGAGCCGUGCAAAAUUUCGGGCAGCUGUUUCUUGCAAUUUUAUGGGUACGAAGGUCGCUGAGGGUCAAUGACAGCCUUUUGGAUAAAUUAAACCGAAAUUUCUGCAACAUGAAUUAACAUGAAUCAAUGUUAUUAGUGUACGGUGAUGACCAUGAUGUGAAAUUAGGUUGGCUAGGAUUCCAACAAGGAAAUGAUGAAAAACACCCUCAUCGAAUACGAUAUAACUCUGUUGGUUGGCAAUCCACGUUGCUUUGAAUCAACGAAAUUCGGUGGUUCAGGUGCCCGUGCUCUUGCAGGAAAUAUGGUUAAGCAUUGAUUGCGACAUAUGUACGAAUGUGCGCUUAAUAAUAUUUUAUAAUGAUACUAUCGAGAGAAAAACAAACGUUUUCUUAAAUCAGCUUUAAGUUACAAUUUCCUACU